UACAGAGGGUGCAAGCGUUGUUCGGAAUUAUUGGGCGUAAAGCGCGUGUAGGCGGCUUUGCAAGUCGGGUGUGAAAUCCCUCAGCUUAACUGAGGAAGUGCGCCCGAAACUGCCGAGCUUGAGUACCGGAGAGGGUGGCGGAAUUCCCCAAGUGGAGGUGAAAUUCGUAGAUAUGGGGAGGAACACCGGUGGCGAAGGCGGCCACCUGGACGGAUACUGACGCUGAGACGCGAAAGCGUGGGGAGCAAACAGG
rnacentral:rRNA from 1 species